rnacentral:rRNA from 1 species
UGGGGAAUCUUGGACAAUGGGCGCAAGCCUGAUCCAGCCAUGCCGCGUGAGCGAUGAAGGCCUUAGGGUUGUAAAGCUCUUUCAACGGUGAAGAUGAUGACGGUAGCCGUAGAAGAAGCCCCGGCUAACUUCGUGCCAGCAGCCGCGGUAAUACGAAGGGGGCAAGCGUUGUUCGGAAUUACUGGGCGUAAAGGGGCGUGUAGGCGGGUCUAAUCAGUCAGAGGUGAAAGCCCUGGGCUCAACCCAGGAAUUGCCUUUGAUACUGUUAGACUAGAGUUCGGGAGAGGGUAGUGGAAUUCCCAGUGUAGAGGUGAAAUUCGUAGAUAUUGGGAAGAACACCAGUGGCGAAGGCGGCUACCUGGACCGAUACUGACGCUGAGGCGCG